GCGGAGAACACAGGAGAAUGGCACACCGGGCGCCUAGGCCGCGAGGGCAGCCCGGGAGCGCAGCUUCCCUGGGCCUCACGUUCGCUUCAUCUGCACGCGGUGAGGGGGACCAAGAGCCCUUCCCACCCGACACGCGACACGCGACACGCGACACGCGAAGGUUGCGGUUUCCUCUCUGGGGCCCACCGCAGCGUGAAGCGAAGUCCCAUCUUGUAAGAUGGCGCUGCUAGCCAGCCUGGUUUGCUCAUAGCCACCGGUAUUGAAUCCUCUUCACGUACGAAAAUACUUUAUUGACUGUCUAGAUGGCUUGGAAGCUUGUACCCUCCCGGACAUGCAGAGAAGGAAAUUAUUCCUGAAGCCCCAGGCUUAACUCAACCUGAUCAUCCAACCCCAUUGACUUACAACAGAGAGCAGCAGUUCCCCACUUCUGCAGAAGUGUGGUUUCUCAAUGUCACAUGGGAUAAUGUGAAGUCUAAUUCUUCCACUCUAAGCUUCUCAGGAGGGUCUCCUAAUCAGAAGAAGCAGUGAGAUGUGGUGGACUGAGCCCUGUAGCAGUCAUCAGAAGCCCUGAAAGUUUGAGUCCCUGUUUUAGUCAUUUUCUCAUUGUGAUUUUGACAAAUGGCUUACCCUCACCAACCCCAAGUUUCCUUCAUCUGUUAAAAAAAAAAAAAAUGAUGAUAUCUGUUCUCUAGGCCUCCAUAGGACGGUUGCAAAAGUUGUAUUUGACAA